GUCGGGGAAGGGCUUCCGGCACUCGGGGCACGCCUUGUCGCAGCCGCGUCCCCAGUCCCCGAUGCAGGCCCCGCAGAAGUUGUGGCCGCAGGACAGCGUCACCGGCUCCACGUAGAGCCCCAGGCAGAUGGAGCAGACCCUCUAAGCAGCUCCUGUGUAGGGGAGCGGCCCCCGCCUCCAGGGACCAGAAACUUUGGGAACCCCGUUGGGCUUCGGAGCCUCUUCCUGGCUGAAGUCCCCCACGCAACACCUCUGGGCCCAUCUGGAAACCUGGACCACAGCAGCUACUUCCGGCCGUUUUGGCGAUGAAAGGAGACCGCACGAGGUCGCCGGGUCAGUGAGAGCGCUGGGCACGGGCUGGGCUCCUUGGCGGGCUCUCCUGCCGGAAAGUGCUCCGCGGCCCUAUUCCUUGUGCUGUUUCAGCCAUCUGCCAGAUUGGGGUGUCUCCUUUCUCUAAGCUGCGACAAACUUUGGUGCUUUUAAAGUAAACAGUGAGGUGGAAAUUUCUGGUCACC